UGUGUCUUUGGAUAUCGUAUAUAUGCAUGAAUUUAUCUGUUGCCUUUGAGUGUUUUGGAUGAUCGACAUGGUAAGAUGUUUACAAGAUAAAUUGCAUAGACAACACUCUGAUGCUGCGAAAAAGUGGUUCUCGACUUUUUUCAUCUGAUGAGUGUACACUACCUGUAGUUUGGGUGAAUGUAGGAUAAUGAUUUUCUAUUCGUGAUAUAUGGUGAGUUGAGAGGCCUCUGUAUAAUUUGGUUUGUCUAUAUGAGGCCUAAUUUAUUAAUGUUCCACAGGUUUUGUUCAAAUGGAUGCAAAAGUAAAAUGCUUCAGGCUACCUGUACAGAGCUGUUGAUUGACUGGCGGCUUCAUUGGCUGGCAAGUCGUGGUUCUCAAGUUGUUGACUUGACUAUGUGCCAGUGGAUAUGCAACGACGUACUUCCUGAUCUCAUGGGAACUGGGGAUGAACUCCGCAACCGGAGCAACACAUAAUGUCAGCUUGCAGAUAUUGGAAAUGCUCGAGAGUCUGGUGCGGGCCAGCUCUCUCGUGUAGGACUCAGGCGAAGUAAAUGCUUGCUCUGAGACUUUGCAUAUGGCAGAACUCAGAACUGAGUGUGGACUUGUUCAAAAAAAAGAAAAAGAACUGAG